rnacentral:rRNA from 1 species
AUUGAACGCUGGCGGCAGGCCUAACACAUGCAAGUCGAGCGGAGCGGAGGACGGGUGAGUAAUGCCUAGGAAUCUGCCUGGUCGUGGGGGGUAACGUCCGGAAACGGGCGCUAAUACAGCACAUUAUCAGACGAAUCUAGGUGGGAGUAGCUAGUUGGUGGGGUAAAGGCCUACCAAGGCGACGAUCCGUACCUGGUCUGAGAGGAUGAUCAGUCACACGGGAACUGAGACAGGGCCAAGACUCCUACGGGAGGAAGAAGUGGGGAAUAUUGGACAAUGGGCGAAAGCCUGAGCCAGCCAUGCCGCGUGUAUGAAGAAGGUCUUCGGAUUGUAAAGCACUUUCAGUUGGGAGGCGUUACCGACAGAAGAAGCACCGGCUAACUUCGUGCCAGCAGCCGCGGUAAUAC